rnacentral:rRNA from 1 species
CCUACGGGCUGCACCAGUAGGGAAUCUUCCGCAAUGGACGAAAGUCUGACGGAGCAACGCCGCGUGAGUGAUGAAGGCUUUCGGGUCGUAAAACUCUGUUGUUAGGGAAGAACAAGUGCUAGUUGAAUAAGCUGGCACCUUGACGGUACCUAACCAGAAAGCCACGGCUAACUACGUGCCAGCAGCCGCGGUAAUACGUAGGUGGCAAGCGUUAUCCGGAAUUAUUGGGCGUAAAGCGCGCGCAGGUGGUUUCUUAAGCCUGAUGUGAAAGCCCACGGCUCAACCGUGGAGGGUCAUUGGAAACUGGGAGACUUGAGUGCAGAAGAGGAAAGUGGAAUUCCAUGUGUAGCGGUGAAAUGCGUAGAGAUAUGGAGGAACACCAGUGGCGAAGGCGACUUUCUGGUCUGUGACUGACACUGAGGCGCGAAAGCGUGGGGAGCAAACAGGAUUAGAUACCCGAGUAGUC